rnacentral:rRNA from 1 species
UACGAAGGGGGCUAGCGUUGUUCGGAUUUACUGGGCGUAAAGCGCACGUAGGCGGGUCUUUAAGUCAGGGGUGAAAUCCUGGAGCUCAACUCCAGAACUGCCUUUGAUACUGAGGAUCUUGAGUUCGGGAGAGGUGAGUGGAACUGCGAGUGUAGAGGUGAAAUUCGUAGAUAUUCGCAAGAACACCAGUGGCGAAGGCGGCUCACUGGCCCGAUACUGACGCUGAGGCACGAAAGCGUGGGGAUCAAACAGG